GGAAAGGUGUCCGAGUGGUUUAAGGAGCACGCCUGGAACGCGUGUAUGGGGGCAACCUCAUCGUGGGUUCGAAUCCCACCCUUUCCGCCA
rnacentral:tRNA from 1 species